CAGUGCAACAACAACUGCUAUCCAAUGAAACCGAGAGACAGCCAGGUCAGGCCUGCAGUCUAAAUCCUCUUUAAGGUUUAGAAUCACAUCGACACAGCUAUAAUGACUCAGGAAACCAGUCUGUCGACUUCCUGUCCAUAUAACCUGCAGAGAUGCUUUCAUGCCCAACAGCAGACAGGAAGUCCCCUCACUCCCUCCCAUCUGCUAGCUGAGCUAUAAUAUUUCAUCUUGUAACGCAGCAUUCCACAGAAACAGUCAGAAAUGUCACUCUGUCUGCCACUUUCACAGCCGUCUGACUGCACUGUAUUUCCUGUGAACUCAUCUUAAACCUCUAUUUCCCUGUUCGUUUUUUUUUUUGUGUGGGUGUGUCUCCACAGAUCCAAGUGAGCAGAGAGAUCAGCAUGUACAGAACGAGGAGCCCUGGACCACUGUGCCUAGUAGGAACAAAAGAAGGACCAGAGACUCCAAGAAUAUUCCAAAGGUCUCCAAGAACAACUGGGUGUCCAGAGGAACCAAGCAGGGUCCGAUAACCAUUGUCCACAGGGAGGCAAAGAUUAAAGAGAAGGAGGAGCCGAGAACAGUGCAGCCCCAAACGGACGAGAAGAUCCAGCAGGGCCCCUGGGCUCAAGUCACAUUGGUGAAGGGCAGCGCUGGAGGAGCCAAGGCCGGUGACUCAGGGCUCAACUGCUUCUCAGCACUGCAGUCCAGCCCCUCAACACAACCCUCCACCCCUCCUCAAGAGACGGCAGACUUCGACGGAAGAAGAGGCAAUAAGAACAGAAACCGCAGGAAUCGCCUCUACAAUCUGCUGCACAAUGCGCCUGCUUUUUCUCAGCCGGAUCCGUUGACCAGGGGAACCAGUUCGAAGGAGCUGCUGGAGAGUCCAGCCCCGGAGGACGAGUGGUAUUGGUGAUAGCCCUUGUAAAUACAGUGUGAACAUUACACACGUUUACCAAUAAACUGAUCAAUACAGGAAUUUGUUUAGGGAAACAAAAAAUGAAA